rnacentral:rRNA from 1 species
GACGUAGGGGGCGAGCGUUGUCCGGAAUCAUUGGGCGUAAAGAGCGUGUAGGCGGCCCGAUAAGUCCGCUGUGAAAGUCCAGGGCUCAACCCUGGGAUGCCGGUGGAUACUGUCGGGCUCGAGUCCGGAAGAGGAGUGUGGAAUUCCUGGUGUAGCGGUGAAAUGCGCAGAUAUCAGGAGGAACACCAAUGGCGAAGGCAGCACUCUGGGACGUGACUGACGCUGAGACGCGAAAGCGUGGGGAGCAAACAGG